UACAGAGGUCUCGAGCGUUUGUUCGGAUUCAUUGGGCGUAAAGGGCGCGUAGGCGGCGGGGUAAGUCUGGUGUGAAAUCUAGGAGCUCAACUCCUAAACUGCACUGGAUACUGCUCUGCUGGAGGACUGGAGAGGAGACUGGAAUUCACGGUGUAGCAGUGAAAUGCGUAGAUAUCGUGAGGAAGACCAGUGGCGAAGGCGGGUCUCUGGACAGUUCCUGACGCUGAGGCGCGAAGGCCAGGGGAGCAAACGGGG
rnacentral:rRNA from 1 species